rnacentral:rRNA from 1 species
UACCAGCACCCCGAGUUGUCGGGACGAUUAUUGGGCCUAAAGCAUCCGUAGCCUGUUCUGCAAGUCCUCCGUUAAAUCCACCUGCUUAACAGAUGGGCCGCGGAGGAUACUACAAGACUAGGAGGCAGGAGAGGCAAGCGGUACUCAGUGGGUAGGGGUAAAAUCCGUUGAUCCAUUGAAGACCACCAGUGGCGAAGGCGGCUUGCCAGAAUGCGCUCGACGUUGAGGGAUGAAAGCUGGGGGAGCAAACCGG